UCCAUUAAGUUCCUCUUAAGCAAAGAGAAUUGUAGUUCAGUGCAAUGUAGGUGACAAAUGUGCAGUUUUAUUAUGUGCGUUAUUGCCAGACAAGAUGAAAUCAUCAGCUUGAAUCUUCAAUUUGACGCGGAAGAUGCAGUGACUUGUUCAGUGCUUGGACCUCGAAGUGUUCACCUUACUGGGUUCUAUUGUGGGAGUGGUAAUGGUGAAGGAGACAGUGAUGAUUCGCAGCCGUUAUGUCAUGAGUUUAAGGAUAAACUAUAUAUUCUGCUAACGUCUUGAUACGUUAUUUGCUUCAAUUAUUGUUUGGCUUAAACCUUUUUUUUUUUGUUAAAAGUGAUUCUUAUGGAGAGGAUACUGUUGAAACUGAUAACGAGGCCGAUCAGUCUGCUGAUAGUUUAGAGGAAGAUAAAUUUGAUGACUUUAUAAAUGUCUUCACCAUCAAAAGGCCGUACGAGCGAAGUGAUAAUUGAGGAGACAGAUGAUGACAAAAAACCUGCAAAUAUGAAAGGGAACGGCAAACGCUCUAAGGAAAAUUACCUAGUAAGCGACUCAGAUGUCGAUGAUGAAGAGAUUAUUGUCAAGGAUCAUUUUUUUAUGCCGAUGAUGAAGAGAUUGUUGUCCAGGAUAAUUUUGGAAACCUUGCAGCGAGAGUUGGAAGGUUUCCGAGAAUGAUCCUAUUUCUGAGUUGUCCAAGAAAAAAGCCAUGACUGGGAGUAAAGAAGAAGCUGACUGUAAUUCUGAAAUACAACUAGCUAAGGAAAGCAAGAAGGGUAGUGGCAGCAGUGAGCCUGGCACAUUAAGAAAAUUGAACCAGGAUAGCCAUGUUCAAGAGUCAGCAAAGCAAAACAGAUAUCUGAACCACCUUAAGAUUCCUCUAUGCCGUCAACUAAUAUUGGGUAAGAAAGCAAUGUAUGAUGUAGAUGGGGAUGCAAAGACUGAACAAAUCAUGAUCGUGUUGGACUCAAGCCUAAGGAGGAGCAACCUACUGCCAUUCAAUCUAAAGAUUCAUCUGUGCCAUCUACUGAUAUCACGCUAGGAAGUGAUGUUGAGCCCAAAAACAUGGAUAUUGCUUAGGAGUUACACCUGAGGAGCAACCUAGUGAUAAGUUGUUUGAUCCAUCUAAAAAUCAUCUGUGCCAUUUUGGCUGAUAUUGGAAAUAGAAGGGAUCUUGGAGGUGAUGCAGAUGCUAAGACUUGAAGCCAUCGAUCAGGAUCAUGUUGAAGUCAAACCAGUGGGUUUGCAACUUACUGCUAAGUGGGACUUGAUCCGCCUACAUUAACCUUCUUUGUAUGUAUUGCAUGCUAGAGAGUGAUGCCACACCUAAAAAAAGCAUAGAAGGAAUCAUGGUGAAGAUGGAGAUGCAAAGACUAAAAACAUGGAUCAGGAUGUUGCUGGAGUCGAACCUGAAAAGGAGCAACCUACUGACAAGUUGUUUGAAGUUUGAACCAUCUAAGGAUUCGCCUGUACCCUCUAAUAAUAUUGGGUUACAAAGUGACAUUAAGCCCAAGAAGAAAAUCAGUAGGAAACGUGGUGAGGAUGGCGAUGCAAAGAAUGGAAACAUGGACCAGGAUCCUGUUGCAAAACCAGGAAGAAGCAGCCGAAUGACUAAGCUUUGAAAGAUGGAUGGGAAGUGGGGCUGCAAGAGAAGGACAGAACAAGCAAGCUAAAGAAACAAAAAAGGUUUUCACUAGGAAAGUUAGAACACCUUACAAAAGCUACCUAUUCUUGAAUCUGUUGUAAAGCUUCAUGAUAUGUCUCUUAUUUUGGAAGGGAAGGAGUAAUAUCCAUGAAGGAAAAUAAUAUACCCAAAUUCAAAUAGCU